AUGAACGCUAGCGAUAGGCUUAACACAUGCAAGUCGAGGGGUAACGUGUUGGAAGCUUGCUUCCGAUGACGACGACCGGCGGAUGGGUGCGUAACGCGUAUGCAACUUGCCUCACAGUGGAGAAUAACCCGGAGAAAUCCGGACUAAUACUCCAUACACUCUUAAGUACGCCUGUACAUGAGAGGAAAGAUUUAUCGCUGUGAGAUAGGCAUGCGUCCUAUUAGGUAGUUGGUGAGGUAACGGCUCACCAAGCCGACGAUAGGUAGGGGUGCUGAGAGGCAGAUCCCCCACAUUGGGACUGAGACACGGCCCAAACUCCUACGGGAGGCAGCAGUGAGGAAUAUUGGUCAAUGGAGGAAACUCUGAACCAGCCAAGUCGCGUGAAGGAAGAAUGUCCUAAGGAUUGUAAACUUCUUUAGCGAGCGAGUAAGGACUUCCACGUGAUGGGAGUUUGAAAGUAGCUCGAGAAUAAGUAUCGGCUAACUCCGUG
rnacentral:rRNA from 1 species